GUAUGGAAUUUUGAAUUAUGUGAGAGUAUGAAUUUUAAAUUAUGUGAAAGUAUGGAAUUUUGAAUAAACUUUGUGCAGAAUUGUUGUUCGAAUUAUUGUUCAAUGAUACAAAUAAAACAGAUGAAAACAGACGUUUGCAGUCAUCUGAGAGUAAUUUAAUGAGCGGGCCUGAAAUCCACCUCGAAUCACAGUCAUCUGAGAGUAAUUUAAUGAGCGGGCCUGGAUUUCACUUCGAUUCAUAGUCAUCUGAGGGUAAUGAAAUAAAAUAAAUGAAAGCAGAAGUGAGCUGCACCGGAGAAAUGUGCUCGGAUUCGUGCUGGUAACAUUAUUGUCCGGAAUAAAUUUCAGAGAGAAAAUAGACACCAACAUCACGUGGUCGUAAGUUCCUCCGCGCGCCAUUUCCAUCCUCCUCGCAAUAUUCAUUGCAUUCCAAUGAUUAAAACACAAUAAGAUAAUAAAAAUUGCUCAGCAUAAAAAGACAAAUUUUUUUUUCCCCUGAAGGAUAUUAAGUAGCAGUAAAUAUGCUGAUCAGGUCUUACGUGCAGCGAAAGAACUGCCCAUGCUUAGUGUUGAUGCCACUUUGCAGCCCAUAGCACGUAUUACGUAUUAAAAUCAAUAUAUGGCCAAACUUUGUGUGGAAUGAUCGGGUACAUGGUAGAACAAGUCAAAAUUUUUGGUUACGGAUUGAAGAUCCCGAAUCCAAUUUUAUCUUUCAUUCUCAAUUGUUCCUGGUUUUUUUACCAAUCCGCAAUUACAAUUCUAUUACAAAAAUAAAUAAGUUCUGUUUAUGUGCUUUCUUCAUGUUAAAAUACAGUUUUUAGGCCACGCGCAAAUUUGUCUACAGCCUUUACUGCCACAAUAUUAUAUACGAGUAGCGAGUGACAGUAGUAUAUAUAUGGAGGAACGUCGACGCGAAUUUUUCGGCCUUUGCGUAUAGUAGUAUAUAUAUGGGGGAAUGAUGUCCACACACUUCCCCGCU